UGAACAUCCAGUAAUCAUAAAAUUUAAAUCUCAACAUAAUAUGUAUGAGCUAAUUGAGGCAUCCCAAAAUGUAGUAUUUAUCCACAAAACAUCUUGGCAACAAAUAGGACAUAGAAAAAGUGAGAAACGCCCUCAGUGUGAAAUAGAUCAUUCAUCAGAUGGGAUAAAAACAACUGUUUAACACUGGGUAUAUAGCACAUCCUCCAAUGCAUCUUGGGUCUCUUAAUGUGUUGCUAUCUAAGGUGAACACCUCAAAGAAGCUGAAUAAUUUCCAUUAACUUCACAUUAUUGUGAAACCUGUUUACCUCUAUGCUAGACCCUCCCC
rnacentral:lncRNA from 1 species